CAAAACCAAUUAAAUUUAUGAAUUGAUCUAAAGACUAACUAAACAUAGGAAAAUAUCGAGAAACUCUAAUGACUAUAAUGACCACCGGCAAACACAUUGAAUUGAGGUCUAUUGGUACUUGUAAUAACUUAAAGCAAAUGCAAGGGUUAUUAUCAAAUUGGUCAAGGGCUUUCUCCAUAAAUCAGGAGCCAUGAGUUUCACAAAGGCUUUUAUGGCAUGCUUACUUUUUUUUUUUUUUUUUUUA
rnacentral:misc_RNA from 1 species